UUUAGAACCAGCCAACAGAAUAGAAUCCAAAGCAGCUGCAAGUCAUUCUUGAGAAUCUUGAGAAACUUCUGUAUAGAAAUACUAGGCUUCCCUGGUGACUCUGCCUGCAAUGCAGGAGAUCUGGGUUUGAUCCCUGGGUCAGGAAGAUCCCCUGGAGAAGAGGAUGGCCACCCACUCCAGUAUUCUUGCCUGGAGUAUCCCAUGGACUGAGCUCACUGGUGGGCUAUAGUCCACGGGGUCACAAAGAGUCGGGCACAACUAAGCAACUAACACCAACUAUAGAAAUAUCCCCUGGUGGCUCAGACGGUAAAGCGUCUGCCUGCAAUGCAGGAGACCCGGGUUCGAUUCCUGGGUUGGGAAGAUCCCCUGGAGAAGGAAAUGGCAAUUCACUCCAGCACUCUUGCCUGGAAAAUCCCAUGGACGGAGGCUACAGUCUACAGCCUACUGAUAGGCUACAGUCCAUGGGGUCACAAAGAGUUGGACACGACUGAGCGACUUCACUUUCACUUCAUAGAAAUACUACCUCAUUCUGAGCAGGAGAGAGGGUGAACAGAAAUAAGAGAAGAGGUCUCUGUAAUUCUAUCUGAUUCUUUCUGAGAGAGGAAACAAAAGGAAGUGAGUGACUACCGCUCCCAUUUGUAGACGCCAUGACAACUGCCAGUAUCUGUCACUUCCAAACAGUUCUGGGAGUUGGGCAAGGUAGUUGUGCCCACCACUCAGAGGAGGGAGGCACUGAGGUGCAGAGGGAGAGAAUGAAUUUCUGUGAUGGUGCAUGAUCAAUGAAGCCUGAAUUCCAAAUCCACAGCAUUUUAAUUUGGGGGGUGAGGGCUCCAUCCUCUUAUUUCUAACCUUGUGCUUCUCCAUCCCCUGAACCGUUCAUGUCUCUUAGUUCAUAGGGAAGAAGCGGGUCCAACCAGUGAGGUUUACACCCAUCUUAACUGCUCAAUAAAACCUCAUGAGACUUCCUCGAAUCCAGAGAAGUUAAGUCCUGACACUUUAACAGCUCGUUGACGAUACACAAACCAGAUGGACCUGGGCCUUGAAUCCAUUUCGCACCAUCAGGCAGCAAUCAUGCUAUAUAGGCUCUGCACGCUGGCCGGGCACAAAACCCUGCUCUUUGUUCUGUCUGCAGACACCCUGGGGCAGGGGUGGAGGGUACCUAUUUCCUGUCUCGCAUCUGUUCAUAAAUGUGCCACCAAAGAAGAGGGGCUGUUGAUCUCACCCUCUGGACUUAAAGCACACUUUCAGCUCUUCAUCAACUAAGACAGCAAUGAAGACCUAGCGCGACUGAAAGGAAGAUCCUUACACCCACGGCGGAGCGCUUAUAGACAAAGAGGAGCACCGAUGAUUGACUGCAGCAUUGACAAAAUUUGCGGGAAAAAAAACCUGAAAAUAAACCAGCUGAAGAUUGGUUAAAUAGAUGAUGGCAUGUCUAUAUAAUGAAUAUGAAGUUACUAUCUAAAAAUAAAAAUGAAAUAUACAUACUGACCUGGAAAGAUGCCCGUGAUGUUAACAGGGGAAAAAAUGCAAAUAUCAAAACAGUGAGUGUAGCAUGUGCCUAUUUUGAAAAAUAAAAGUCAUUCAAGGACUGCCGUGUGUGUGUAUAUGUGUGAAUGUUCCCUCAAAAAAGACCAUCAAG
ensembl:lncRNA